GUGCCAGCAGCCGCGGUAACACGGGGGGAGCAAGCGUUGUUCGGAAUCACUGGGCGUAAAGGGCGUGUAGGCGGUUAGGUAAGUGGGAUGUGAAAUCCCCCGGCUCACCCGGGGACCUGCAUCCCAAACUGCCUGGCUUGAGUAUGGGAGAGGAUGGAGGAAUUCCUGGUGUAGCGGUGAAAUGCGUAGAUAUCAGGAGGAACACCGGUGGCGAAGGCGUCCAUCUGGCCCAAUACUGACGCUGAGGCGCGAAAGCUAGGGGAGCGAACGGGAUUAGAAACCCCAGUAGUCC
rnacentral:rRNA from 1 species